rnacentral:misc_RNA from 1 species
UGCUCUCUGCUUCAGGGUCGAAUAUACACCGAUACACUCGCAUACGGCUUCGCUUACACGCACGGACACAGGCGCCUGCGUGCGGCGCACCUCUCGGUGCACCCGUCGCUGUAUCCUUUUACUGCUCUUUUCACCUUUUCGAGUCGCGCCGGCAGCCAUUGCGAGGUCGCCAUGGUGGGUCGUACAUCAGUUGUGGCCUAUGUGGUCUCCUCUUUCCUCGCGUGCUCCUUGUUCUUGGCUGACUACGCCAACACGUACCGUGAGUUCUACCCAGCGAUGGUCGCCUUGGCAAACUCGUCCUCUUUCCGGUUGCUCAUCGUCAACACCGCCAUCGCCUUUACCGUGGUGCUGUGGAUGGUGCUGCAGUGGUGCUUCUUUGGGCAGCUGAACGCGUCGGAGGAGACGGCGCUGCUCACGUCCUUCACGCUCUACACGGUGGAGUGCGUCGUGGUGCCGCUGUACAUGGACCAGCCGAUCAUAAGCGCCGCAAGCUUCUUCUUCCUUUUCACGCUCGCGUGGCGCGUGCUGCACAAGCUCGCGUCGGAGCGCGUCACGACACUGUCGACGGUGCAGAUGACGUGGAUUUCCGCGACGCGCAUGCCGGCGUACCUGUGCUUUGCGAUCAUCUGCGACGUUGGGCUGCUGACGUGGAUGAUUAAGACACGGCCGGAGUUGAACGAGGAGAAGGCCUCGAUGCACUACUCCAUGAUUCUCAUCUACAUGCUGCUGCUGAGCUCAUCGCUGCGCAGCACGGUGCACUUCGCCAGUCUGUUCGUCCUUCGUGGCCAGCACACACUUCUUCCUUUUGUGGCGGACGCCGUCACGAGCAUUGCAGAGUCGCUGCUGUUCGUCAGCGUUUACGCGUACAUUUUUUACAAGGCGGCGCUGCCGCUGCUGCUCUUGCGCGGGUUCGUGGGGCACGUGCUGCGAAUCUUCGAGAAGACAUCCGGGCUGGCCGAGUUCCUCGUCUUGGCCCGGCGGGUGCGGAACAGCAUGCCUGACGCCACCGCCGAGGAUCUGGCGCGCGACGUGCGGUGUACGAUUUGCUACGAGGACAUGGUGCCUGGUGGUGGUACGAAGCGGCUACCAUGCGGUCACUGCUACCACAUCGACUGCCUCGAGCGGUGGCUGGAAGGCCACUCAACGUGUCCGUACUGCAGGGCAAACAUCAUGCAGAUGCGCGGCGGCGACGGCUCGGCGGUUCCACCUACCGCGGAGGCCGAGCCGGCGCCAGCGGGCGUGGUAGAAGGCGCGGCGGUACCUGAGGCUCAGGAGGGAACCCCCGCUCACCAGCAGCCGACCGACACCUCCGACGACAUGGAGGCCGAGAUUCGCGAGGCGUACGAACGGUACAGGCAGCAGCUGUGCCCUCCGCCGCCAGCGGCGAGUAGCGCUGCCGCCACAGGUAGCCACCCCGUUGUCACGGGUGCAGGCAGCGGCAGUCCGCAUCGCACGACGCCGCCUCCCUCAGACGGGAUGACGACCCCGCAGACGGCUGAUCAGCUGAAGAUGAAGGCGUACCAAGAGUACCACAAGCGCCUGCGAGAGGCGGAGAGGGAACUGCAAGUCGCUCUGCAGCUCGCCGAGGAGGCGGGCUACCCGCCGUGAUGGAGCGAGACGGUCUCUCUCUCCGCUGAAUGGAGCGAGUCGCCGAGGCUGCACUCCCUCCCUUCCUCCUGGGGUCGGACAUGCGUAAGGCGAUGCCGUUGUGGUACACACGAGCAGAGACAGAUGCGAAAAUGGGAAGGGGGCAGUAAGGGCGCACGGAUGCACGGCCGCGCUCUCUCAAACCCUUUUCAACGACUCUCUUGUCGACUGUGUUUGUGUGUGUGUGUGUGUGUGUGUGUGUCUACACGGACAUGUGCCGGUGAUCUGCUGUACUUGUCGUUGCGUGUGUGUGUGCGUGCUCCUGCCAUGGGGGGAGGGGGAGGGGUCCGUUGGGCUAUC